rnacentral:rRNA from 1 species
ACAGCAGUAGCCGCGGUAACACGUAGGUCCCGAGCGUUGUCCGGAUUUAUUGGGCGUAAAGCGAGCGCAGGCGGUUAGAUAAGUCUGAAGUUAAAGGCUGUGGCUUAACCAUAGUACGCUUUGGAAACUGUUUAACUUGAGUGCAGAAGGGGAGAGUGGAAUUCCACGUGUAGCGGUGAAAUGCGUAGAGAUGUGGAGGAACACCGGUGGCGAAAGCAGCUCUCUGGUCUGUCACUGACGCUGAGGCUCGAAAGCGUGGGUAGCGAACAGGAUUAGAUACCCCUGUAGUCCCUGUCUCUUAUACA